GACGAACCGUGCGAACGUUAUUCGGAAUCACUGGGCUUAAAGCGCGUGUAGGCGGGAGGGCACGUCCGUCGCUGAAAUCCCCCGGCUCAACCGGGGAACGGGCGCGGAUACGACCUUCCUUGAGGGGCGUAGGGGGACCUGGAACUUCCGGUGGAGCGGUGAAAUGCGUAGAUAUCUGGAAGAACACCAAAGGCGAAGGCAGUGUCCUGGGUGGUCGCUGACGCUGAGAGGCGAAAGCCAGGGGAGCGAACGGG
rnacentral:rRNA from 1 species